CACGUAGGGCGCAAGCGUUGUCCGGAAUUAUUGGGCGUAAAGAGCUCGUAGGCGGUCUGUCGCGUCGGCUGUGAAAACUCGGGGCUCAACUCCGAGCUUGCAGUCGAUACGGGCAGGCUAGAGUUCGGCAGGGGAGACUGGAAUUCCUGGUGUAGCGGUGAAAUGCGCAGAUAUCAGGAGGAACACCGGUGGCGAAGGCGGGUCUCUGGGCCGAUACUGACGCUGAGGAGCGAAAGCGUGGGGAGCGAACAGG
rnacentral:rRNA from 1 species